rnacentral:rRNA from 1 species
AUUGAACGCUGGCGGCAUGCCUAACACAUGCAAGUCGAACGAGUGGCGGACGGGUGAGUAAUGUCUGGGAAACUGCCUGAUGGAGGGGGAUAACUACUGGAACACGUGGCUAAUACCGCAUACCAUCAGAUGUGCCCAGAUGGGAUUAGCUAGUUGGUGGGGUAACGGCUCACCAAGGCGACGAUCCCUAGCUGGUCUGAGAGGAUGACCGGCCACACUGGGACUGAGACACGGUCCAGACUCCUACGGGAGGCAGCAGUGGGGAAUCUUGGACAAUGGGCGCAAGCCUGAUGCAGCCACGCCGCGUGUAUGAAGAAGGCCUUCGGGUUGUAAAGUACUUUCAGCGGGGAGGCGUUACCCGCAGAAGAAGCAACGGCUAACUACGUGCCAGCAGCCGCGGUAAUUC